rnacentral:sRNA from 1 species
AUUCUCCUGCCUCAGCCUCCCGAGUAGCUGGGACUACAGGCACCUGCCACCAUGCCUGGCUAAUUUUUUUUGUAUUUUUAGUAGAGACGGGGUUUCACCGUGUCAGCCAGGAUGAUCUCUAUCUCCUGACCUCGUGAUCUGCCCGCCUCGGCCUCCCAAAGUGCUGGGAUUACAGGCGUGAUCCCAUCAUGUUGACAUAGCGGCUUUAUUGAUAAAAUACAACACGUGUGUAAAUGCAACAGAUAAGUGGGCGUUUACUCCUCUCCAUGAAGCAGCCCAGAAAGGAAGGACGCAGCUGUGCGCCCUCCUCCUAGCGCAUGGUGCAGACCCCACCAUGAAGAACCAGGAAGGCCAGACGCCUCUGGAUCUGGCAACAGCUGACGAUAUCAGAGCUUUGCUGAUAGAUGCCAUGCCCCCAGAGGCCUUACCUACCUGUUUUAAACCUCAGGCUACUGUAGUGAGUGCCUCUCUGAUCUCACCA